CCACCACAUGCCUCAUUUGAUGAAUCAGUCAAUCAAGGUUCUUUUUUUUAUUAACUAUGUUCACAUUUGUCAUGUUGAUUAUGAGCCCAAAGCUCAUGGAAGAACCUUCAGAAGACCCUCGAAGAGCAACUAAAGGAUGGAAACCUCUACCCUCUAUAAAUUCAAGACAUGACGACAGCAGCAAAAUGUGGUUGUGACUGGAGGGUACAAUAUUCUGCAUCCCCCAUCAACAAACAAUGGGUCAAAUUAAGACCCCUGUCCAGUGUGUGGAAAACCCUAAAGGAUCAGGUGGAGUGAUAAUAUACGACCGGGAGAAGUUAGCCAUGAACAAACAACACUUGGUGGCAGUUCUUCUCUCUAGAGGUGAAAAACUCUGUCAGACCAGUUCUGUUGUAAUGGCAAGUGAAGACAAGAACGAGAAAUGCCUCCCAAGACCUUAACAUCUCACCCUUUAUACUUCAAAUAAAGGCAUUUUACAAUCAUCUUUGUCUUCUGUGUC
rnacentral:lncRNA from 1 species